AGCGAACGCUGGCGGCAGGCCUAACACAUGCAAGUCGAACGAACUCUUCGGAGUUAGUGGCGGACGGGUGAGUAACACGUGGGAACGUGCCUUUAGGUUCGGAAUAACUCAGGGAAACUUGUGCUAAUACCGAAUGUGCCCUUCGGGGGAAAGAUUUAUCGCCUUUAGAGCGGCCCGCGUCUGAUUAGCUAGUUGGUGAGGUAAAGGCUCACCAAGGCGACGAUCAGUAGCUGGUCUGAGAGGAUGAUCAGCCACAUUGGGACUGAGACACGGCCCAAACUCCUACGGGAGGCAGCAGUGGGUAAUCUUGCGCAAUGGGCGAAAGCCUGACGCAGCCAUGCCGCGUGAAUGAUGAAGGUCUUAGGAUUGUAAAAUUCUUUCACCGGGGACGAUAAUGACGGUACCCGGAGAAGAAGCCCCGGCUAACUUCGUG
rnacentral:rRNA from 1 species